CUAUGGUUUUCCCAGUAGUGAUGUAUGGAAGUGAGAGCUGGACCAUCAAGAAGGCUGAUCGCCGAAGAAUUGAUGCUUUUGAAUUAUGGUGCUGGAGGAGACUUGAGAGUCCCAUGGACUGCAAGAAGAUCAAACACAUCCAUUCUUAAGGAAAUCAGCCCUGAGUGCUCACUGGAAGGACAGAUCCUGAAGCUGAGGCUCCAAUACUUUGGCCACCUCAUGAGAAGAGAAGACUCCCUGGAAAGGACCCUGAUGCUGGGAAAGAUGGAGGGCACAAGGAGAAGCGGACGACAGACGACGAGAUGGUUGGACAGUGUUCUCGAAGCUACCAGCAUGAGUUUGACAAAACUGCGGGAGGCAGUGGAAGAAAGGAGUGCCUGGUGUGCUCUGGUCCGUGGGGUCACGAAGAGUCGGACACGACUAAAUGACUAAACAACAACAGCAACAACUUUUCUACUGAGCCCAUUUUUUACAAUUCCUCCCCGCUACAGCACAGAAAAUAGUACCAGCCCUCUAGAGAAAAAAAGAGCCUCAAAACCAUGCAUCUUUGUACAGCAAGAACAAACAGCUAAGUAAUCAAUUAAGGAAUGCAUAGGGUACAAGCAUUUUUUUCAUUGGAGACUUGACAUGUCUUUUACAGGCCUCUGUCUAGUAGAGUAAAUGAUGCAAUGAUGGAAGAAACUCCAUGAGUUUGUGUUUGAUAAUGAUGCAGACUUCUUUUGCAUUUCGUUUGUUCAAGAGCAUCAGUUGGACUGUUUUAGUUUUGUCUCAAUACUAAAGCAACAAACAAAAGUUGCAAGGUUCUUUGAAUUCCUGUCUAUUUUUCUACUCUCAUCUCAAAAUCCAAUCUGUACAAAGAUUUAUUUCUUACAAGGUAUUUUACUUGAAAAUGACUUUUUCAUAUCCACACCUAAGAAUUUAGCUUUGAUAUCAAAGUCACCUACCUCUUCACCAGAUAUAAUUUCAAACAUCACAUUCUUAAACCUUACAAGAGAAAAACAUAUAUGAGAGUAUGUAUUUUGGUAAAGAAUUAUUGAAUUAAAAACUACAAACACAAAUGAAACCCCAAAAGCUGACAAAUCUUUAAUAAGAGACAAAAUCUAAAUAAGGUGUUAUAAGAUAGUUGGGUUAAAUAUUUAAUAGGUAAAGAGCAGAGCUAAUGCUCUGAUAAUACUGGGUGCAAAACCUAUUGGUUUGGCUAAACUCCAUCAAUUCCUAGUAUUACACCCUUUUCACUGCCAUAUACUUCAGUGAAAUGCUCUUAAGUUCCUUCCCCUUCCCCUUUGUUUUCCACUUAACUUUAUUAAUCUUUGUGAAUUUAUGUAAAAUGUAAAGGAUGUAAGCGCACAUUAACCCACACACAUUUUCCCCUUUGCUGAAUAAAGGCAGAUGUUUUUAGAACAAUUAA